rnacentral:rRNA from 1 species
UACGUAGGGUGCAAGCGUUAAUCGGAAUUACUGGGCGUAAAGCGUGCGCAGGCGGUUAUGUAAGACAGUUGUGAAAUCCCCGGGCUCAACCUGGGAAUUGCGAUGGAGACUGCAAGGCUAGAAUCUGGCAGAGGGGGGUAGAAUUCCACGUGUAGCAGUGAAAUGCGUAGAGAUGUGGAGGAACACCGAUGGCGAAGGGCAGCCCCCUGGGUCAAGAUU